CUGGCGGCGCUGGCUCUGCUAGACCCCCAAGUCGAGCGCACCUUCGGGUGAGCGGCGGACGGGUUAGUAACGCGUGGGAACGUACCCUUCUCUAAGGAAUAGUCUCGGGAAACUGGGGGUAAUACCUUAUACGCCCUUCGGGGGAAAGAUUUAUCGGAGAAGGAUCGGCCCGCGUUAGAUUAGAUAGUUGGUGGGGUAAUGUUUCUACCAAGUCUACGAUCUAUAGCUGGUUUUAGAGGAUGAUCAGCAACACUGGGACUGAGACACGGCCCAGACUCCUACGGGAGGCAGCAGUGGGGAAUCUUAGACAAUGGGCGCAAGCCUGAUCUAGCCAUGCCGCGUGAGUGAUGAAGGUCUUAGGAUCGUAAAGCUCUUUCGCUGGGGAAGAUAAUGACUGUACCCAGUAAAGAAACCCCGGCUAACUCCGUGCCAGCAGCCGCGGUAAUACGGAGGGGGUUAGCGUUGUUCGGAAUUCUGGGCGUAAAGCGUACGUAGGCGGAUUAGCAAGUAUGGGGUGAAAUCCCGGGGCUCAACCCCGGAACUGCUCAUAAACUGCUAGUCUAGAGUUCGAGUGAGGUGAGUGGAAUUCCGAGUGUAGAGGUGAAAUUCGUAGAUAUUCGGAGGAACCCAGUGGCGAAGGCGGUUACUGGCUCAUCUGACGCUGAGUCCAAAGUGUGGGAGCAACAGAUAGUCCCUGGAGUCCA
rnacentral:rRNA from 1 species